rnacentral:lncRNA from 1 species
AAAGUGAAAGCAGGGGAUUCUAAGGGGUAUAUGUACACGGUGUACACAGCAGCAUUUUUCACAAUAGUCAAGGUGGAAGCAAGCAGUGCCCACCAACAGAUAAAUGGAUAAACAAAAUGUGCCAGUGACACACAAUGGACUAUUAUUCAGCCUUUAAAAGGAAGCACAUCCUGGCAUGUGCCGCAAUGUGGAUGUAUCUUGAAGACUUCGGGCUGAGUGAGAUAAGCCAGUCACAGAAGGACAAAUCCCCUACGCUUCCGCUGGUGUAACAUCCCUAGGCUAGUCCUGGUCCUAGAGACAGGAAGGGGAAGGAUGGUUGCCAGGGGCUGGGGGACAGAGAGCAGCGGGGAGUUAACUGUUAAGUAGGUACAGAGAUUCAGUUUUGCAGGAUAAAAAGUUCUGGAGAUGGGUGGUGCUGAUGGUUACACAACAUUGUGAAUGUACUUUUAAAAAAAAAAUGCAUUUAGAAAGAGCAUGGAACCAGUGGGAGAGACAAUUGGGAUCUUGCAAGUUUGGUUCUCCUACUGUUCACCUAUAGCAAAUUUCAAAUAUAUAGCAAAAGUAGUCAGAAAAGUUUAAUAAACCUUUUACAAUAUACCAUUCAGCUUCAGAGGUUGUCAGUUUGUAGUCAAUCUUAUUUCAUCUUUACCCUCACUUUUCCCCUCCAUUCAAUGGAGUUAUUUUUAAAACUUUAUUUGGGAAUAAUUUCAAGGAUAAAGGUACGUAACAAAAGUGAAAAUAGUAAGACAAAACCAAACACCUACUCCCUUAUUCGAAUUCAUCUGUUACUAAUACUUUAUUUCAUUUCCAUGUUUUAUAUGUUCUCUCUCUCACACAUGCACAUCUCCCCCAUUUUUUUUCCACCUAUUGAGGCUAAGUUAUGUAUAUCCUAGACCUCUACCUUUACUUUUAUGAGAAUAUCCUUAUUUUAAGGAUAUCCUUAAAAUAAGGAUAUUCUCUUACAUACCAUAUAGUGUAGUUACCAACUUCAGAAAUUUAGCACUGACUCCAUUUUAUCUCUACACCAUUAAUAUUCCAAUUCUGUCAGUCCUGUUCUUUGUAGUAUUUCUGUCCUCUCCAGUACGGGGCCAGGUAUUAUAGUCAGUUAUCAGCCUCCAUUUCCAGAAUCUUUCUCUUUUAUGACAUUGAUAGUUUGGAAAAGUAAAUCCCUCUUCCUUUUUUAAAUAAGGUGGUCCUUAUUGCGGGGGGCAGGGGGGUAUCUACCAUUUUCUUAUGAUUAGAUUCAAAAUAAGCAUUCUUGCCCAGAGUCCUGCCUGGAUGGUGGCAUGUCCCUCUCAGGGUAUCACAUGGGGGGAGGCAUGGCAAUGUUGAUCUUGAUCACUGAUCAGAGUUGUCUGUUCGCAUCACUGAGCAGUUUUUGCCCUCCUCCCACUCCCCACCAAAUAAUAAGCAGUCUCUGGGGAGAUGCUUUAAGAUCGUGCAAAUAAUCUUAUCGAAAUUUCCCUUAGAUUCAGCAUCUGUAUUUAUUUACCUAUUGCCACAUAAUACAUAUGUCAAAACUUGUUUAAAACAGUAUUUGUCAUCUCAGUUUCUCGAGGUCAGGAAAUUAGUGCUGGCUUGGCUGGAUGGUCCUGCCUAGGACCUCUGGUGAGAUUACAUUUCGUUGUUGGCCAGAAGUUGGCCAUUAUCUGAGGGCUUGCCUGGAGCUGGAGAAUCUAUUUCCAAGAUAGCUCAUUAACACAUCUGGCAAGUCAGUGCUGGAACUGUCACUUCCUUACCACCCGAUGAUUAAUGAUAUUUUUUGAUACAAAGUCAUUAAGAUAAUAAUUCAGAUAUUUUAAUGGGUAUAUUUUUUCCAAAUAGUAAGACAAAAUGUUUGAAAAUUUUCAUGCUAGUGUUUUAAUUUCUGAAGAUAAAGAGGUUAAGUAUUUAGUAGACCAUUUCUAGGGAAAAAAGCAUUGACCUAAUUCAUAGUGGUAUCUUCCAGGAGUGUCAGUAGAUGAAUGUAAAAUAGGUCUCUUUAUGUACCAUUAACUGGCAUCCUCACAGAGAGGGAAAAAAAAA